UACUGCCUACGGGAGGCAGCAGUGGGGGAUAUUGCACAAUGGGGGGAACCCUGAUGCAGCGACGCCGCGUGGGUGAAGGAGUAUUUCGGUAUGUAAAGCCCUAUCGGCAGGGAAGAAGCAAGACGGUACCUGACUAAGAAGCCCCGGCUAACUACGUGCCAGCAGCCGCGGUAAUACGUAGGGGGCGAGCGUUAUCCGGAUUCACUGGGGGUAAAGGGAGCGGAGACGGCCAAGCAAGCCCGGGGUGAAAGCCCGGGGCCCAACCCCGGGACAGCCCCUGGAAC
rnacentral:rRNA from 1 species